GUUUAUGGGAUGCAGGCUAAUGGAGUGUGCUCUUUCUGGGACAUUGAUAGUCUUACGACACAGGGAGAAGACAGCCAUGUGCAAUUACCCAGUGCAAAUUCAUGGACUGAAUCUGCAGAUGUUAUUGUCUAAUACGUUACUGUCUGAUACUCUAGAGAACCAGACUUAGCAUUCUAAACACAAGACACAGGAAACUAGAAUUCGAGGUCUACAUGGAACAGAGAUAUAGGCCACCUUGGGAUAACAUAUGGAGCAGGUAGGAAGAAGAAUUCCAUCUAGUCAUUUGUUCCAGCCAUCAUUCAUUCAGUGGACAUCUUUGGAGGACCUGCUGUGUGCUGGCAUGAUGCAUACACAGAGCUGGCUAGAGCAGGUAGACAAGGCAGCCCUAUCCUGUCCCUCUGUUGGUUUCCAUCUGAGGGGAGGGGAGAACAGGGUGGAUGGAGGCAGUUCAUUCACAAACACAUAUAUCUACUCGUUGCUUUAUUUUUGGAGAUUUUCCUGCUCUUGUAGGUAA
rnacentral:lncRNA from 13 species